CAGAUGCCUUAAAGUGUUCGGAUGUUUUCUAGACAUUUUUUUCAAGUUAGUUUUCAACACCUGACCAGACAGAGGAAAUGAUUUGGAAAUGACCCAGAUUGCAAAAGUAGCAACGAGGCACGAGGCAGUGCCACUGGGGGAUUCCUACGAUGCUGACAGAGCUAGAUUCAUCCAAGCAAUAAUCAGAAGCCCUGGGAAUUCUUGGCUCACCUGCCUGAACACUGUCGUUCUCAAAGAAACAAAAGCUUCUGGAAGGAACUUCUGCCCUGGACAAACUGGGGAACAAGUGAGAUCAUGCUGGAAAGUUGCUGACAGGGAGGGAAAGGUGAAGAGGGAAAUGGUGGCCCAGAUGAUGACAUGGGUUUGGAUUCCUUCCAUGAACAAAUGAAGCAGAAGAAAGCCUGUAUAGAGGAAGGAGUGGGGAAGCCUGGAAAUUUCCAAGUUUUGUUACUUGUUUCUUUUCAAGGCAUGUCUGUCUUUUCACUCUUUAAAUUCUUGAAGCAUUUCUCUAUCCUUCAAAUAACCACUUGUUGACAACAGAAAAAGACAGUGGGAGAAACCAAAGCACAGCUAUGACCAUUAUCUGCCCGCCCUUCAAGCUCUUACUACUUUUAUGAAAACUCAGAUCGCAUCAGCCCAUGAGAUACUGUCCCCUAGUUCCUGUAAAUGCUUACUACAUUUCCACUCACCUCUCUCGUCUCACUGUUCUCCCAGCAUGAGUUAUCUUCAUACAGAUCUG
rnacentral:lncRNA from 1 species